CACACACAGGAUAGUGAUGAGAUUACCAAUGUGUGUGCAUAUGUGAGGAGGGGGCAGGGGAUAGUCUAAGCUGCUUGCAAUAUAUCAGCUAACCAAGUAAAAGCUUGCAACAUAUCAGCUAACGUUUUAUGUUUAAGGAUGUUCCUGUCUGCCUCUCUGAGCCAGCAGACUGCAGAACAGAGUGAGGCUGUUGAUGAAGCAGCAAGACAAAUCCCCCGCAACUCCCCGCGCAUGAUUUUCCAGGCUGUUGGAUUCCACGUCUUUCUGUGCUCUUUCCUCUCAGGCUGCAUCCCUAUCCAAAACCAACCAGUGCAGAGUGUUUAAGCCUGGGAGGAUGUCUGAUGCAAAACCAAGGAGGAGGAGGAGGAGGAGGAGGAAGAAGAAGAGAACAAAACUCACAGGACAAAGGGUUGAGUAGGACCAGGCCUUAGCCCAGUACUAAAACAUCUGGGAAAGAUUUGUAGACUGAGCAGUUGUUGUUGCAAACAAUGGUAAAAACAGUCAGAGCUCAACUCAAAGGAUGUUUGCCAAGAAGGAUUCACCAGAAAAUCUGCCAGCAGCAUUGCACUUGUCGACAGCAAAUAGGUUUGCCUUUUUUGCCCUUUAAUGUUUGCCAUCUGUCUUAACAGGAUACCGUCUGCUCCACAGGAAACCUCCACAAUUCAUUUCUUCCUCAUCUAAAAUCCAAGGCUGUUAGAUCGGAGAAGCAGGAGAUGAGAGAAAUCGAGCAUCAGGGAAUCUCUAGGUCCUCCAGUCAACAUCUGCUAGAAGUUGGCCAUCGAAUCACGCUGGAGGACACUCUGUCAUGAAGUCCAACAUUUUCUGCUUGAAGGAUCAACCUCUAUCGCCUAGUGCAAUGAUAAAACAUGGAAUGGUUAAAAGAGGAAGACAACAGUAUAUGGACCUCUCUAUUAAAUUGCAUCAAUGAGAUUCUCUCUCUCUCUCUCUCUCUUCACGUGAGAUCUAUGUGGACAACCUGCGAAGCACAGUAAUGAAAUGGAGUGGGGGAAUGUCACAACAACAACAAUAUCCCAAUGGCACUACAGGUUGACAGGACCAGAGAACAUGUGGACUAAUCCUAAAAUGAAAUUCUGUCACAUUUUUAAAAUAGUAAUUUCUGAAAGUCACCUUUUAAAAAUCUGGGACUAAAACCUUACUGACUUAAGCAAUUCGCUAUUUCGCAUGCUUCCAAACCUCUAAACUGUCUAAAUCCAGCAGCAUCCUUUUUGUUUUUUACUGAAGUGAAAAAGAAAUAAUAGCAUUUAUGUCAAGAGAACCUAUGAUAUUCUGCUUAUCACCUAUCCCCAAUUUUGUUCAAACUCUGCUUUAGACUCCCUGACAGCACAUAGCUAUGUUUAAAGUGUCAAUUUAACCAGUUAGGAAGGGAGAUUUGUGUAUCAGCCACAGCUAUAAAAGCCAGCCUUAUGGAAGUUGUGGGAUGCCUACUACUAUAAGGUUGCAAUUAAUCAAUCCAGGGCAGGAAAAGAAAGCUGUUUUAAAAACCACUGUGGUUGGAAUUGCAUUUAAUUUGUCUGGAUUUUUUCUUUCUUGCUCUCCCUUCAUUCCCAGGUGUAAAGGAAUGGAAAAACAAGGGGGAAAUGGUAAUUAUAUGAAAUGAAAUUUAUUAUUACAGUUGAUGACCAGCGUAAAAAAAUAUAAAACAGUACAAUGUUAUACAAUGCCCAAUAGAAAAAACAAUGCAAACGAUACAAUACAAAUGCAAUAGAAAUACAGC